CAAGAGAGUGAAGGCUAGGGGAGCCUGGCGUGCUGCAGUCCAUGGGGUCACAGAGAGUCAGACAUGACUUAGCAACUGAACAACAACAGCUGAGUGUUGGAGAGGCUCCAGGGAUGGACCCGGCACAAAAGACUUAUUUUACAGAGGGAGAGCCUGAGACCCAGAGAGGGGAAGUGAUUUGCGCAUGGCCACACACCAUGCUGAUAGCGUGUAUUGGACAGGAACAGGUCCUAUCUCUGGCCAGAUGGUCUGUGUUCUGCUCUUUCUUGUGUUCCUAGCUAACCUUGUCCUCAGGAAAGUUUCCAAUGUCAUCCCAGCCUCUGCAGUGGAAGGGGAGUCCCCAGGCCGCCUUACUCAGCGCUGCCUCUGGCUGCUGACAGGCCAGAGAGUCAGUGAGGACCUUGGAGGCAAAGGUCACCUGAGGCUUCUCCUGUGCAGCUGACCCUCAGUGGCAGUUGUUAUUUAAAGUAGUUAUGCUGGAGGGAGGAAGUGACGGAGGCGAAUGUGAAAAUGAGUAGCUAUUGCAAGAUGUGUGUGAUAAAUGAAACAAGGAACAUAAAGACAGACCAAGAGGCACAUCUGUUAUUUUUGUUCCUUUUUAUAGCAACCUCUAAGUCAGACUUCUCACACUGAGUAGGAACCCUUAGCUGCUAAGUGUUUUCCUGACCGAAGCGCUCAUGAGCCUCAAAGGGAGCGGAGAUGGGUAGGUGAUGCGGGGCCCUGGGAACAGCAUGAACCCUCAGAGCCACACCCCAGGCCUGCGCACUCAGCACCUCAAGAUCCGAGGCUCUGAGCAGAAGGGCUGGAGGGCUUCAAAGGUCGGUGCUCCCCUCCGUUUACCGAAGAGUAGGGUGGCGAUCUCACUUGGUCCCUGAACCCAGGGACGUCCCCGCCCAGAUGGUCCCUCACCAGCAGUCAAGAAUGCAAGGGAGCCAUUUUCCAGGGGGGAAUACUGGCUUUCUCUCUCGAGGUGCUUUCUCUCUGCUGAGUCGAAUCACCAGUGCCACCUGCUAGUGGGGACUGAGCCCCCCGGGCUGCCGGAAUUAAGCAGCAACUAGGUGUACCUCUGUGACUGGCUGCAGGACGAUGAGAGAUAAGAGGAAGGCGUUGGAUGGGAAGGUUCCAGAACAGGAGGAUAGAUUGCUGAGGCUCUUUGUUUUCCUCUCCCCUUCCUUCCUCUCUUAUGCUAUCUGGAAUGCUGACACCAUGGCUGGCACUCAGACAGCCAUCUUGGACUAUGAGACAAUGUGUGAACAGCAAGAGAAGAGCAGGGGUCCUUGGUCCAGUUAGAGCUGCCAUCCCACCUCCCGGUUGGGAUUCCUUUCACGUGAGAGAGAAAUAAACUCUAAUGGUC